UACAGCUUUCCCUUUUGUUUCAAAUAAGCCUUCCCCUAUAAAACAACAAGGUUUCAACUCUAUCUUCCCCAAAACCGAGCCAUCCGUUCGACCCAACUCCAACCAGUCUUGGUGUUCACUGCCACCUCCAUCGGCACCGUUGCCAUCUCGUGACCCCAACCCCGACCACCAAAAAACAAAACUCGUUGUCGUUCACCGUAAAAUAAAGAAAUACCAUUUGAAUGCCUUAAAGUCGAUUCUGACCAUCAUUCGUCGUAGGCGUCACCGUCGGUUCUAGUCGACACAUCGUCUUAGCCCGACUAAAUCAUUACAGAUCACGCCUUGCAAACCACCACCGUUCACCGAGAAGAGCUCAUCAAACCUUGUCGAAAAACCCAAAACUUACCUUCGAUUUUCGGUGAUUUGGACAGAUUCCGAAAUCCGUAGAACAUAUGUCUAGCACAAUCGCGCUCCACGUUGUCUCGUGAGCAAAACGCAAUCGUGGAUUAUGUAUUACUAUAUAUAGUAGAGAGACCGAUGCUCAGUAAAUCUUUGGAUCGACCCAUUUUGCAAGGUUCAACCCCAAUUAGGGUGAUAAUUCUUUAUGGACCUAAGGCAACCCUUGGGUGGGCUCCUAGGCCCAAUGGGCCUAGUGGUAAGAUCUUAUGGACCCUAAGACAGUCCCUUAGGGUGGCUCUUUUGUUUUGUCCUAUAGGUAGGUCUUUAUGGACCUGGGGCACUCCCUAAGAUAGAUCAUAUGCUACGGUUUGGGUAAGUCUUUAUGGAACCAAUGUGUUCCCUUAAGUUGGCUCCCAAGUCCAAUGGGUCUAGGGUGAGCCCUUACGGAUGCAGUUAUAAGGAAUUGCAUAUAGUAUUCGAUCAGAGGGUAACUCUAUGUUUCAAACAAAAACUAUACUGCUCUUUUUACUCUAUGUAUUCUGAAAUCAUAUUUGAAAUUUAUCCACAUGUUUUAUUCGACACUUGUUGGAACACACUGGACUCCCUUAAUUUGUUGUAAUGUUUUUAUCUUUCGAAAUGUCU